CCUCUCCAGGGGUUGGCUGUAAAGAUCAAUGGAUCCAGCUAAUCUAGAAGAAAAUAACCGCCCUUGCGUUCGUAUGCUGUUUUACUUUACCAAAGCACAUUGAACCCAUCAUCUCGUUUGGAGGGCACAUCAGGUGGACUACACCAGUGAUCAGAAGCCCAGCAUCCAGGGGGAUGAAGGAGACCUUGCCCCGAGCCACAUGUGUCUCUGUGCGGAAUUUCUGUUGGAGAGCGAGGCCGUCUCCUUCCUGUGGUUUACUUUGCACCGUACAGCACAUUCGUAUUUGAGGUGUCUCCCUGAGCUGCCAGCCCGGAACUUUGGCGCUGUCACACGCAGAGCAGCAGCCUCCUUGCCCUGCACGGCUUCCUCCGGCCGAGCAGCUGGGCCUGGUGGCUGGCAGCAGGCGUCAGGGGCGCAGAGCUACCUCUUCAGCCUCCUGCCAGGAGAAGCUCGCCUCCCGCGUCUCUCCAAGUCCCUCCCUCUGCCGACAUGGACGUCCUCGUCGCUGUGUCUCUAACGAAGUGCCUUGGGAUCUUCCGUGUUCCGACGGGGAACUUUCCUCUGACCUUUCUAGGCUAGCCCAUGGCACAGGGAUUAAGAGGCUGGAUCCCACUUGGCCGACUGUGCAGUGUGAGUCCUGAACCCGACGGCUUGAAAAACACGCUGGGCACAGGGGUGCCCAAAGUCCCAAGAGGAAAAUGGAAAAGAAGGGAUUUGCAGGUCCCUCGCAGGGUGCUGUCUCGCUUUGUCUCCCUUUCUCUCUGCAUCUCUCUCUGGCAAAAGUAUGUACACUCUACCAAAUUAAAGUAAUAAAUAAAUAAAUAAAAGCUGAUCUUUCUUUAGUAAGAAACG